rnacentral:rRNA from 1 species
AGCAGCCGCGGUAAUUCCAGCUCCAAUAGCGUAUAUUAAAGUUGUUGCAGUUAAAAAGCUCGUAGUUGAAUUUCGAGAUCAAAUUGUUGGUCGUGCCUUGGUACGCACUGGCAUUAUUGGUUUCUCCCUUCUGACGAAUCAUGAUGUCAUUAAUUUGGUGUCUUGGGGAAUCAGGACUGUUACUUUGAAAAAUUAGAGUGUUUAAAGCAGGCUUACGCUUGAAUACAUUAGCAUGGAAUAAUGAAAUAGGACGUUUGAUUCUAUUUUGUUGGUUUCUAGGAUCGACGUAAUGAUUAAUAGGGAUAGUUGGGGGCAUUAGUAUUCAAUUGUCAGAGGUGAAAUUCUUGGAUUUUAUUGAAGACUAACUACUGCGAAAGCAUUUGCCAAGGAUGUUUUCAUUAAUCAAGAACGAAAGUUAGGGGAUCGAAGACGAUCAGAUACCGUCGUAGUCUUAACCAUAAACUAUGCCGACUAGGGAUCGGAUGAUGUUAAUUUUUAAUG